rnacentral:misc_RNA from 1 species
CAGGAAGGUUACAAUUACCUACAAAACCACCGCGAACCGUUCCUUUUAGCUGCCUCGGCGGGCAAUCCCCAGGGGCGGGAUUCCGGGCCCUCCUUCGGGGGGCGCCCCGCCGGCGGUACGCCACAUAUCUAGUUUCUGUCUCUCAGCGGAUUUUCUGAGUGAUUUUAAAAAACCUUUAAA